rnacentral:rRNA from 1 species
CUUUCGGAGCUAACGCGUUAAGUAGACCGCCUGGGGAGUACGGUCGCAAGAUUAAAACUCAAAUGAAUUGACGGGGGCCCGCACAAGCGGUGGAGCAUGUGGUUUAAUUCGAUGCAACGCGAAGAACCUUACCUACUCUUGACAUCUACAGAAUCCUGCGGAGACGCGGGAGUGCCUUCGGGAACUGUAAGACAGGUGCUGCAUGGCUGUCGUCAGCUCGUGUCGUGAGAUGUUGGGUUAA